rnacentral:rRNA from 1 species
UACGUAGGGCGCAAGCGUUGUCCGGAAUUAUUGGGCGUAAAGAGCUCGUAGGCGGCUUGUCACGUCGGGUGUGAAAGCCCGGGGCUUAACCCCGGGUCUGCAUUCGAUACGGGCUGGCUAGAGUGUGGUAGGGGAGAUCGGAAUUCCUGGUGUAGCGGUGAAAUGCGCAGAUAUCAGGAGGAACACCGGUGGCGAAGGCGGAUCUCUGGGCCAUUACUGACGCUGAGGAGCGAAAGCGUGGGGGAGCGAACAGG